CCUACGGGGGGCAGCAGUGAGGAAUAUUGGUCAAUGGACGAGAGUCUGAACCAGCCAAGUAGCGUGAAGGAUGACUGCCCUAUGGGUUGUAAACUUCUUUUAUAUGGGAAUAAAAUGUUCCACGUGUGGGAUUUUGUAUGUACCAUAUGAAUAAGGAUCGGCUAACUCCGUGCCAGCAGCCGCGGUAAUACGGAGGAUCCGAGCGUUAUCCGGAUUUAUUGGGUUUAAAGGGAGCGUAGGUGGAUUGUUAAGUCAGUUGUGAAAGUUUGCGGCUCAACCGUAGAAUUGCAGUUGAAACUAGCAGUCUUGAGUACAGUAGAGGUGGGCGGAAUUCGUGGUGUAGCGGUGAAAUGCUUAGAUAUCACGAAGAACUCCGAUUGCGAAGGCAGUUCACUGGACUGCAACUGACACUGAGGCUCGAAAGUGUGGGUAUCAAACAGGAUUAGAUACCCGUGUAGUC
rnacentral:rRNA from 1 species